AACGAACGCUGGCGGCAUGCCUAACACAUGCAAGUCGAACGAGACCUUCGGGUCUAGUGGCGCACGGGUGCGUAACGCGUGGGAACCUGCCCUUAGGUUCGGAAUAACUCCCCGAAAGGGGUGCUAAUACCGGAUAAUGUCUUCGGACCAAAGAUUUAUCGCCUUUGGAUGGGCCCGCGUUGGAUUAGCUAGUUGGUAGGGUAAAAGCCUACCAAGGCGACGAUCCAUAGCUGGUCUGAGAGGAUGAUCAGCCACACUGGGACUGAGACACGGCCCAGACUCCUACGGGAGGCAGCAGUGGGGAAUAUUGGACAAUGGGCGAAAGCCUGAUCCAGCAAUGCCGCGGGAGUGAUGAAGGCCUUAGGGUUGUAAAGCUCUUUUACCCGGGAUGAUAAGGACAGGACCGGGAGAAGAAGCUCCGGCUAACUCCGU
rnacentral:rRNA from 1 species